rnacentral:rRNA from 1 species
ACAAUUAGCUGUUGGGACACUAGAUGUCUUAGUAGCGAAGCUAACGCGUGAAAUUGUCCGCCUGGGGAGUACGGUCGCAAGAUUAAAACUCAAAGGAAUUGACGGGGACCCGCACAAGCGGUGGAUGAUGUGGAUUAAUUCGAUGCAACGCGAAGAACCUUACCUGGUCUUGACAUGUACGGAAUCUCUUAGAGAUAGGAGAGUGCCUUCGGGAACCGUAACACAGGUGCUGCAUGGCUGUCGUCAGCUCGUGUCGUGAGAUGUUGGGUUAAGUCCCGCAACGAGCGCAACCCUUGUCAUUAGUUGCCAUCAUUAAGUUGGGCACUCUAAUGAGACUGCCGGUGACAAACCGGAGGAAGGUGGGGAUGACGUCAAGUCCUCAUGGCCCUUAUGACCAGGGCUUCACACGUCAUACAAUGGUCGGUACAGAGGGUAGCGAAGCCGCGAGGUGAAGCCAAUCUCAGAAAGCCGAUCGUAGUCCGGAUUGCACUCUGCAACUCGAGUGCAUGAAGUCGGAAUCGCUAGUAAUCGCAGGUCANCAUACUGCGGUGAAUACGUUCCCGGGUCU